rnacentral:rRNA from 1 species
AUGGCUAGGAUUAGCUAUGGUGUCAUAUCCAUGAUCCCCAAAGUAGUUGGGGCGACGGAUAUUUGGCACUUCCACCCCAUCACGGUGAUCAACAUGUUGGAGCGAAUCUUUGCGAAGGUUUGCGCAACUCGCUUAUCCCUGGUGGCGAAAAGGAUUGCCCACCCCCUCCAGUCCGCGUUCCUGAAGGGCCGGCGGAUCCAUUACGGUAUCCUCGCCCUUCACGAGAUCGUCCACGAGGUGGCGUCGAAGGGGCUUACGGGGGUCUUCCUCAAAUUGGACUUUCAGAAGGCGUAUGACCGGCUGGAUUGGUCCUUUUUGAGGUUGGUGAUGGAACGACGCGACUUUGACGAGAGGUGGUGUUCCUGGAUCAUGCAACUGGUUAGAGGGACAAGUGUAUCCGCACUAUUGCUAGGGACAAGUGUAUAUGAGGGUCUGCUGGCAGCAACUUUGCUUUUUCGCCAAGUGUUGUCAUUACUUUAG